GGCUUGGGUUUCCCUAGAGGGUUUCCCUAAAGUACUACUCCGGAAAGUAAGAUUUUCUAAAGUGUUCACGCCUAUUGAGAAUUCAAUAAAUGUUUAUAAUUUAAUUUUUAUUUUAUUUUAUUAUGCACUUUCCAAUAACUUUUCACCAAUGAAAUUUAACAACUCAAAUAUUUUCAUUUAAUGUUUCUUAAAAGUAUAAAAAAAUAACUUAAACAUAUAGAAAAUCUAUCUUUGUGGAACAAGUAAAAAAUCUAAAACAUCUUACUUUCGUGAACGGAGGAAGUAUAAAAUUAUCCCACACUACAACCAGAUUUUGUUUUGGCUAUGUAUCAUUUCAGUUUUGGAUAAAACCUACAGAUGAAAUUUAAUUAGAGACAUUGUUCUUAGAGGACUUCAAUCAAUUUGGUAAAGUUGAACAAAAUUAUGGUUCGGGUCAAAUUAAAUUCCGUUAGGGUUUGGAUCGAUGAUCUUUCUAAAUGCAAUUGCUAGAAUAAACGUACCUGGUACUAUUUCAGUAUUUAGAACAGAAAUGCAGCAGGUAGGUGAUGUAUCAGAGGUGAUGCAGGCGUGAAGUGUGAAGGCGUCAACUUCGUCUAUACAUCUGAUUGAUUCUAGAAGUUGAUCAGCAGAAUGGUUACUAUCAACUCCUUGAAGACGGAUGAUAUUAUUCCGAAGAGCUUCUUCUAAUCCAGAAAAGUUUUUUUCGCUGAUGCGAACCCUAUAUGGAACCUCAAAAUGUCUAUUUUAUUAGUAUCUAUUUCUACUAAUGUAGGUUACUAUCAACUCCUUGAAGACGGAUGAUAUUAUUCCGAAGAGCUUCUUCUAAUCCAGAGCUUAACCACAACUCCACACACUCGUCCAGAACAGCCAACACAGUGGAUGAUGUCGGAGAUAAUAAAAUCCACGAUUUAUAUUGUCUCGUCGAGGCUCUCAGGAUUU
rnacentral:lncRNA from 1 species